rnacentral:rRNA from 1 species
UACGUAGGUGGCGAGCGUUGUCCGGAAUUACUGGGUGUAAAGCGCGUGUAGGCGGCAGCCCAAGUCUGAUGUGAAAGCGCCCGGCUCAACUGGGCGAGGUCGUUGGAAACUGGGCAGCUGGAGGACGGUAGAGGCAGGUGGAAUUCCCGGUGUAGUGGUGAAAUGCGUAGAGAUCGGGAGGAACACCCGUGGCGAAGGCGGCCUGCUGGGCCGGUCCUGACGCUGAGACGCGAAGGCGUGGGGAGCGAACGGG